rnacentral:rRNA from 1 species
GGCUCAGAUUGAACGCUGGCGGCAUGCUUUACACAUGCAAGUCGAACGGUAACAGGUCUUUCGGGAUGCUGACGAGUGGCGAACGGGUGAGUAAUGUAUCGGAACGUGCCCAGUAGUGGGGGAUAACUACUCGAAAGAGUGGCUAAUACCGCAUGAGAUCUCUGGAUGAAAGCGGGGGACCGUAAGGCCUCGCGCUACUGGAGCGGCCGAUAUCAGAUUAGGUUGUUGGUGAGGUAAAGGCUCACCAAGCCGACGAUCUGUAGCUGGUCUGAGAGGACGACCAGCCACACUGGGACUGAGACACGGCCCAGACUCCUACGGGAGGCAGCAGUGGGGAAUUUUGGACAAUGGGCGCAAGCCUGAUCCAGCAAUGCCGCGUGCAGGACGAAGGCCUUCGGGUUGUAAACUGCUUUGUACGGAACGAAAAGCCUUCUUCUAAUACAGGAGGGUCAUGACGGUACCGUAAGAAUAAGCACCGGCUAACUACGUG